ACUCAAAGGAAUUGACGGGGGCCCGCACAAGCGGUGGAGCAUGUGGUUCAAUUCGACGCAACGCGCAGAACCUUACCUGGGUUCGAACGGUGGGUGAAAGCCUCUGGAAACAGAGGCCCUCUUCGGACACCCUCCGAGGUGCUGCAUGGCUGUCGUCAGCUCGUGUCGUGAGAUGUUGGGUUAAGUCCCGCAACGAGCGCAACCCUUGCCCUCAGUUACCACGGGUAAUGCCAGGGACUCUGAGGGGACUGCACCGGUAACGGUGAGGAAGGUGGGGAUGACGUCAAGUCCUCAUGGCCCUUACGCCCAGGGCUACACACGUGCUACAAUGGAGUGGACAGAGAGUCGCAAGACCGCGAGGUGGAGCUAAUCUCAAAACCAUUCCCCAGUUCAGAUCGGAGUCUGCAAUUCGACUCCGUGAAGCCGGAAUCGCUAGUAAUCGCGGAUCAGCACGCCGCGGUGAAUACGUUCCCGGGCCUUGUACACACCGCCCGU
rnacentral:rRNA from 1 species